GACGAACGCUGGCGGCGUGCUUAACACAUGCAAGUCGAACGGAAAGGCCCUGCUUUUGUGGGGUGCUCGAGUGGCGAACGGGUGAGUAACACGUGAGUAACCUGCCCUUGACUUUGGGAUAACUUCAGGAAACUGGGGCUAAUACCGGAUAGGAGCUCCUGCUGCAUGGUGGGGGUUGGAAAGUUUCGGCGGUUGGGGAUGGACUCGCGGCUUAUCAGCUUGUUGGUGGGGUAGUGGCUUACCAAGGCUUUGACGGGUAGCCGGCCUGAGAGGGUGACCGGCCACAUUGGGACUGAGAUACGGCCCAGACUCCUACGGGGGGCAGCAGGGGGGAAUAUUGCACAAUGGGCGGAAGCCUGAGGCAGCAACGCCGCGUGCGGGAUGACGUCCUUCGGGUUGUAAACCGCUUUCGCCUGUGACGAAGCGUGAGUGACGGUAAUGGGUAAAGAAGCACCGGCUAACUACGUG
rnacentral:rRNA from 1 species